GGUUCAGUCCUCCCAGGCCCACCAUUCCUUUCGACACGAAGGUUAUCAGGGGCCGUAGCUCAGCUGGGAGAGCGCCUGCUUUGCAAGCAGGAUGUCGUCGGUUCGAUCCCGUCCGGCUCCACCAACCAUCUUCUGCGAAGAUGGGGCGUGUCGAGUAGAGACGGUGAGAAAAAAGUCAUUCGAAAAAGAGUUUGCGUCGAGCCUCUUGGCUCUGCGCCUGUUCUGUUUGACAUCGUAAAGAGAAGAUUUGUUCGAACUUCAUGAGCCGCAAGGUCUCAUGAUUUGUCGCAAGGGACGCUCAAUCCCUUGCCUAUGAUGGGUUUGCCUAACCGCGCCCUCGAACGGAUCUCGAGAAGCUGGUCUUUUUGUGCCAAUUCCAACCAGUAAUACCCCGCACAGGGUGUUGCUGGAGCGACGAUCCUUCGGAUCGCGCUUAGCCAAUCCUGCAAGGGCGAGGCUGAAGCGACGAUCCCCGCGGGAUCGCGCGAUGAUGGGUAUUGGCAAUGAGAACGAUCAAGUGUCUUAAGGGCAAUUGGUGGAUGCCUUGGCAUGCACAGGCGAUGAAGGACGUGAUACGCUGCGAUAAGCUACGGGGAGGUGCGAAUACCCUUUGAUCCGUAGAUCUCCGAAUGG
rnacentral:misc_RNA from 1 species